UGUCCGGUACCUUACGCAAAACGAUGGUGGAAGGUGAAGAGACAAAGAAAAUGAAUAUACAAACGAGCUACUUCGACGUCGUUGGAAUCUGCUGUUCAUCGGAGGUUUCUAUCGUUGGAGACGUUCUCCGUCCAUUUGACGGCGUUAUAGAAUUCUCCGUCAUCGUCCCUUCGAGAACAGUCAUCGUUGUCCACGACACCUUCUUGAUCUCUCAGCUUCAAAUCGUGAAGGCAUUGAAUCAAGCAUGACUAGAAGCAAGUGUGAGACCAUACGGAGAUACAAGCUUAAAGAGUCAAUGGCCAAGUCCUUUUGCAAUAGUUUCUGGUGUGUUGCUUGCUCUUUCCUUCUUCAAGUACUUCUAUGGUCCGCUUGAAUGGUUUGCUAUUGUUGCGGUGGUGGCCGGAGUUUUCCCCAUCCUUGCUAAAGCUGUUGCUUCGGUUACAAGGUUCAGGCUUGACAUCAAUGCUCUCACUUUAAUUGCUGUGGUAGCAACAGAAUGUAUGCAAGAUUUCACGGAAGCUGCCACAAUUGUGUUUCUAUUCUCAGUUGCAGAUUGGCUUGAGUCAAGUGCUGCUCAAAAGGCAAGCACAGUGAUGUCAUCGCUGAUGAGCUUAGCGCCGCGAAAGGCAGUGAUAGCAGAAACUGGACUAGAAGUUGGUGUAGAUGAGGUUAUGAUCAACACAGUUGUUUCAGUGAAAGCUGGAGAAAGUAUACCUAUCGAUGGAGUUGUGGUGGAUGGAAGCUGUGAUGUGGAUGAGAAAACAUUGACAGGAGAGUCCUUUCCUGUCUCCAAACACAGAGAGUCAACUGUUUUGGCUGCAACUAUAAAUCUUAAUGGUUAUAUAAAGGUGAAAACUACAGCUUUAGCCCGAGACUGCGUAGUUGCUAAAAUGACUAAGCUUGUAGAAGAAGCACAGAAAAGACAAACCAAAACUCAAAGGUUUAUAGACAAAUGUUCUCGCUACUACACUCCAGCUGUUGUUAUAUUAGCAGCAUGUUUUGCUGUAAUCCCGGCUUUGUUAAAGGUCCAUAACCUCAGCCAUUGGUUUCACUUAGCACUCGUAGUGUUAGUAAGCGGUUGUCCAUGUGGUCUUAUCUUAUCCACACCUGUUGCUACCUUUUGUGCUCUCACUAAGGCAGCCACAUCCGGGUUUCUAAUCAAAACUGGUGAUUGUCUAGAGACCCUGGCAAAGAUCAAGACCGUUGCUUUUGACAAAACAGGAACUAUUACAAAAUCUGAGUUCAUGGUUUCGGAUUUUAGGUCUCUUUCUCACAACAUCAAUUUUCACAGCUUGCUUUACUGGGUCUCUAGCAUUGAGAGCAAGUCAAGUCAUCCGAUGGCAGCGGCACUUAUUGACUAUGCAAGAUCAGUUUCUGUUGAGCCUAAGCCUGAUGUAGUCGACAACUUUCAAAAUUUUCCGGGAGAAGGAGUUUAUGGGAGAAUAGAUGGUCAAGAUAUCUACAUUGGAAACAAAAGAAUUGCACAGAGAGCUGGAUGCUUGACAGUUCCGGAUAUUGAAGCUAGUAUGAAGCGGGGUAAGACCAUUGGUUACAUAUACACUGGAGCAGAACUGGUUGGAAGUUUCAACCUUUUGGACGGUUGUAGAUAUGGGGUUGCUCAAGCUCUCAAGGAACUAAAGGCCUUAGGCAUCAAAACUGCAAUGCUCACAGGAGAUAACCAAGACGCAGCCAUGUCUAUUCAAGAACAGUUAGGGAAUGCUUUGGAUAUUGUUCACUCUGAACUUCUUCCACAAGACAAAGCAAGCAUCAUCGAUGAGUUCAAGAGCCAAGGACUUACAAUGAUGGUAGGAGACGGGCUUAACGAUGCACCAGCCUUAGCUAAAGCAGACAUUGGCAUUUCAAUGGGGAUCUCAGGGUCAGCACUUGCAACAGAGACAGGAGAUAUCAUUCUUAUGUCAAACGAUAUAAGGAAGAUCCCCAAAGGGAUGAGACUAGCGAAGAGAAGUCACAAGAAAGUGAUUGAGAAUGUGGUUUUGUCUGUGAGUAUAAAAGGAGCCAUUAUGGUGCUUGGUUUUGCAGGUUACCCUCUGGUUUGGGCAGCUGUUCUUGCAGAUGCAGGGACUUGUUUGCUUGUGAUUAUUAAUAGUAUGUUGCUUCUACGUGAUGAGCGUGAAACGGUGUCUACAUGUUACCGUGCUUCCCCUUCUUCUCUUCGUUUACCGGUGAAGCUUGAGGAGGAUGACGCAGAGGAUCUAGAAGUUGGCUUGCUGCAGAAGAGUGAUGAGACAAGUAAAAAGAGUUGUUGCUCUGGUUGUUGUAGUGGCCCUAAGGAGGAUCAACAAAAGUGAACACCUUCCUCUGAUUUAGAGGGUUCUGUAAACCUGUUUUCAAACCAGACAGAGACCUCUUUAUCUCUUUAAUCAAUGUCCGGUUUAGAAUUAGUGACCUAAAUUUGAUUUGAACCAACAUUCAGAAUGUUUAAUCUAACA